AGAGACAGCAGCAGCCACGGUAAUACGGAGGGUGCGAGCGUUAAUCGGAAUUACUGGGCGUAAAGCGUACGCAGGCGGUUUGUUAAGUCAGAUGUGAAAUCCCCGGGCUUAACCCGGGAACUGCAUUUGAAACUGGCAGGCUAGAGUCCCGUAGAGGGGGGUAGAAUUCCAGGUGUAGCGGUGAAAUGCGUAGAGAUCUGGAGGAAUACCGGUGGCGAAGGCGGCCCCCUGGACGAAGACUGACGCUCAGGUACGAAAGCGUGGGGAGCAAACAGGAUUAGAGACCCCUGUAGUCCCUGUCUCUUAUAC
rnacentral:rRNA from 1 species